rnacentral:rRNA from 1 species
CCUACGGGGGGCAGCAGUGGGGAAUAUUGGACAAUGGGCGAAAGCCUGAUCCAGCCAUGCCGCGUGUGUGAAGAAGGUCUUCGGAUUGUAAAGCACUUUAAGUUGGGAGGAAGGGCUGUUACCUAAUACGUGACAGUUUUGACGUUACCAACAGAAUAAGCACCGGCUAACUUCGUGCCAGCAGCCGCGGUAAUACGAAGGGUGCAAGCGUUAAUCGGAAUUACUGGGCGUAAAGCGCGCGUAGGCGGUUUGAUAAGUUGGAUGUGAAAGCCCCGGGCUCAACCUGGGAAUUGCAUCCAAAACUGUCUGACUAGAGUACGGUAGAGGGUGGUGGAAUUUCCUGUGUAGCGGUGAAAUGCGUAGAUAUAGGAAGGAACAUCAGUGGCGAAGGCGACCACCUGGACUGAUACUGACGCUGAGGUGCAAAAGCGUGGGGAGCAAACAGGAUUAGAUACCCUGGUAGUCCACGCCGUAAACGAUGUCAACUAGUUGUUGGGCUCCUUGAGGGCUUAGUAACGCAGCUAACGCAUUAAGUUGACCGCCUGGGGAGUACNGCCGCCAGGUUNAAACUCAAAUGAAUUGACGGGGGCCCNCACANCCGGUGGAGCAUGUGGUUUAAUNCGAACCACNCNAAAAACCUUACCUGGCCUNGACNUGCAAANAACCUUCCAAANAUGGGAGGGUGCCUUCNGGAACUCUGACCNAGGUGCUGC